ensembl:lncRNA
GGACAGAAGACCAUUUGCAGAUGCUGGAGAAACCAGUGCGAAUGAUCUGAUCACUAUUCUUUUUUCAGGUGCUGUAGUUCAUGAAAGCUUGGGAGUGAAGAAAUACUGCACUGGUGUUCCUGUAUGAGGCAGCACAUGAGCAACUACUGAUAAUCCAUGAGAGCCUGGAUCUAUGCAAAUUAGCAGCUCACCUUUGCAGCACAUGAAGGCCAGCACUGGUUGAUGGACACUUCAUUUGGACACUGUUUCAUGUUCUGAAACAGUGAACUAUCCAAAUGACACCGCCUCAAAUUCUCAAUAUUCUGUCAACAGAACAAUACAACACUAUCAGUCAUUCUCACUUGUGCAGAUCCGGCAGAGUAAAUUGAUCCAUUUUAAAAUGGCACAAGCUGCAGUCUGCAACAAAAUGAGCACAAAGACUUUCACUUCACCUAAAGAGCCAGGUUGUUGCUGUGAGAUCAUCGACAUGCACUCUGUUAGUGAGGCUGUGCAGACCAGAAGAAAUCACUGAGAACAGAGAAUCCCUGAAGGCUAUCAUCUCAAGAAGCACAGGACUAGGGUUGCCAACCCACACCACAGCUGCAUCAAGCACAUGCUGAAGAGCGUGGCUCAUACACUUUACGGGAAUUGUGAUAGAUUCCUUGCCCUUGGACUUCUGCAGGGCUGUUUUGUACUGCCAGCAUGAAGACUGUAAUAAUGAAUUGUUAUUCUUUCUCUUUAUUUCCAUUGGUUACGAAGGCAUGCAGCCACCUUCACACAAAGCAGGCAAACGUGUAUGGGCACGUGCACACAUUUCACAUUUGGUAGUUUCAGCAGAAAUAGUUUUG